rnacentral:rRNA from 1 species
AGCGAACGCUGGCGGCAGGCUUAACACAUGCAAGUCGAACGCCCCGCAAGGGGAGUGGCAGACGGGUGAGUAACGCGUGGGAACGUGCCCUAAGGUACGGAACAACUCCGGGAAACUGGAGCUAAUACCGUAUGUGACCGAGAGGUGAAAGAUUUAUCGCCUUGGGAUCGGCCCGCGUUAGAUUAGCUAGUGGGUGGGGUAAAAGCUUACCAAGGCGACGAUCUAUAGCCGUUCUGAGAGGAAGAUCAGCCACACUGGGACUGAGACACGGCCCAGACUCCUGCGGGAGGCAGCAGUGGGGAAUCUUGGACAAUGGGCGCAAGCCUGAUCCAGCCAUGCCGCGUGAGUGACGAAGGCCUUAGGGUUGUAAAACUCUUUCGCCGGGGACGGUAAUGACGGUACCCAGAGAAGAAGCUCCGGCUAACUUCGUGCCAGCCGCCGCAGUAAAAC